AGAGUUUGAUUAUGGCUCAGGAUGAACGCUGGCGGCGUGCCUAAUACAUGCAAGUCGAACGAGGUAGCAAUACCGAGUGGCGAACGGGUGAGUAACACGUAGGUAACCUGCCUUACAGUUUGGGAUACCCUGGCGAAAGCUAGGCUAAUACCGAAUAAUUGGAUUGGAGGCAUCUCCGAUCUCUAAAAGGGGCCCUUAAAGCCUCGCUGAAUGAUGGACCUGCGGCGCAUUAGCUAGUUGGUGAGAUAAUAGCCCACCAAGGCGAGGAUGCGUAGCCGACCUGAGAGGGUGAACGGCCACACUGGAACUGAGACACGGUCCAGACUCCUACGGGAGGCAGCAGUAGGGAGUUUUCGGCAAUGGGGGCAACCCUGACCGAGCAACGCCGCGUGAAUGAUGAAGGUCUUCGGAUUGUAAAGUUCUGUUAUAAGGGAAAAAUGAUAGGGUGAGGAAAUGCUCUCUAUUUGAUGGUACCUUAUUAGAAAGCCACGGCUAACUACGUGCCAGCCGCCGC
rnacentral:rRNA from 1 species